UACAGAGGUCCCGAGCGUUGUUCGGAUUCACUGGGCGUAAAGGGUGCGUAGGUGGUGAGGUAAGUCGGAUGUGAAAUCUCCGAGCUCAACUCGGAAAUGGCAUUGGAAACUACCUUGCUUGAGGGUUGGAGGGGGGACUGGAAUACUUGGUGUAGCAGUGAAAUGCGUAGAUAUCAAGUGGAACACCAGUGGCGAAGGCGAGUCCCUGGACAACUCCUGACACUGAGGCACGAAAGCUAGGGGAGCAAACAGG
rnacentral:rRNA from 1 species